rnacentral:rRNA from 1 species
CCUACGGGAGGCAGCAGUGGGGAAUAUUGCUCAAUGGGGGAAACCCUGAAGCAGCAACGCCGCGUGGGGGAUGAAGGUUUUCGGAUUGUAAACUCCUUUUGUUAGAGAAGAUACUGACGGUAUCUACCUACUACUCACCGGCUCACUCCGUGCCAGCAGCCGCGGUACUACGGAGGGUGCAAGCGUUACUCGGAAUCACUGGGCGUAAAGAGCGAGUAGGCGGGAUAGCAAGUCAGAUGUGAAAUCCUAUGGCUUAACCAUAGAACUGCAUUUGAAACUGUUAUUCUAGAGUAUGGGAGAGGUAGGUGGAAUGCUUGGUGUAGGGGUAAAAUGCGUAGAGAUCAAGAGGAAUACUCAUUGCGAAGGCGACCUGCUAGAACAUAACUGACGCUGAUGCGCGAAAGCGUGGGGAGCAAACAGGAUUAGAUACCCCGGUAGUC